CUUGGUCAGGACGAACGCUGGCGGCAUGCCUAACACAUGCAAGUCGAACGGGGGUAGCAAUACCCUAGUGGCGAACGGGUGAGUAACACAUAAGCAAUCUGCCCUUCGCAGGGGGAUAACAGCGGGAAACUGCUGCUAAUACCGCAUAAGACCACGGUACCGCAUGGUACAGGGGUAAAAACGAAUCAGUGGUGAAGGAUGAGCUUAUGUCCCAUUAGCUAGUUGGUGAGAUAACAGCCCACCAAGGCGACGAUGGGUAGCCGACCUGAGAGGGUGAUCGGCCACACUGGAACUGAGACACGGUCCAGACUCCUACGGGAGGCAGCAGUGGGGAAUAUUGGGCAAUGGAGGGAAAAAACCUCUUACCCAGCAAUGCCGCGUGAGUGAAGAAGGUCUUCGGAUUGUAAAGCUCUUUGAUUGGGGACGAAGAAAGUGACGGUACCCAAAGAACAAGCCCCGGCUAACUACGUGCCAGCCGCAGC
rnacentral:rRNA from 1 species